UACGGGAGGCAGCAGGGGGAAUAUUGGACAAUGGGCGGAAGCCUGAUCCAGCCAUGCCGCGUGUGUGAAGAAGGCCUUUUGGUUGUAAAGCACUUUAAGCGAGGAGGAGGCUCUCCUAGUUAAUACCUAGGAAGAGUGGACGUUACUCGCAGAAUAAGCACCGGCUAACUCUGUGCCAGCAGCCGCGGUAAUACAGAGGGUGCGAGCGUUAAUCGGAUUUACUGGGCGUAAAGCGUGCGUAGGCGGCUGAUUAAGUCGGAUGUGAAAUCCCUGAGCUUAACUUAGGAAUUGCAUUCGAUACUGGUCAGCUAGAGUAUGGGAGAGGAUGGUAGAAUUCCAGGUGUAGCGGUGAAAUGCGUAGAGAUCUGGAGGAAUACCGAUGGGCGAAGGCAGCCAUCUGGCCUAUACUGACGCUGAGGUACGAAAGCAUGGGGAAGGCAAACAGGAUUAGAAUAACC
rnacentral:rRNA from 1 species